AAAAAAGAAGAAUAAAAUUAUCGGGUACUCCUUUGAGAUCAAUGGGUAAAAUGCAAUGUCAUGUGAAAAGGACGAUCCAUGUACUUGUGCUGGUAUUAAGUGCAAAUGUAUUAGAAUAAGCAUUUUCUUGGUGACUUUUCACAACCCUUGAUUACUGGAGAAUUACUUGAUAAAAAAAAAAAGAAAAAAAAUAAGCGAAGUCGAAUGGCGGUCGUGACUCACUUACACUGAGAAGCGUCCCAACCUUAGACUUAGCAAGAAAAAAAAAAGAAGAAAAAAAUAGAAAAAAAUAGGAGAGGCAUAGGAAUUCUUUAAUGACCCUAAAUUGUAGUUGACUCUUUAGUAAAGAAGUGUUUAAGCCUGAUUCUGAUUAACGGCUCAUAGUGAGGACUCUGUUGAAGUUUGAUAGUCUUUGUUUUGUUUCACUAGAGAGCAUGCUAGCACACACGAUGCACUUCACACUUGUAGUGGAAGAGAACAUGGCUAAUGUGUGAAAGAGAUGAAUGCUGAGAAUGUUGCAUAUU
rnacentral:lncRNA from 1 species